GACGAACGCUGGCGGCGUGCCUAAUACAUGCAAGUAGAACGCACAGUUUAUACCGUAGCUUGCUACACCAUAGACUGUGAGUUGCGAACGGGUGAGUAACGCGUAGGUAACCUGCCUGGUAGCGGGGGAUAACUAUUGGAAACGAUAGCUAAUACCGCAUAAUAUUAAUUAUUGCAUGAUAAUUAAUUGAAAGGUGCAAUUGCACCACUACCAGAUGGACCUGCGUUGUAUUAGCUAGUAGGUGAGGUAACGGCUCACCUAGGCGACGAUACAUAGCCGACCUGAGAGGGUGAUCGGCCACACUGGGACUGAGACACGGCCCAGACUCCUACGGGAGGCAGCAGUAGGGAAUCUUCGGCAAUGGACGAAAGGCUGACCGAGCAACGCCGCGUGAGUGAAGAAGGUUGUCGGAUCGUAAAGCUCUGUUGUAAGAGAAGAACGGGUGUGAGAGUGGAAAGUUCACACUGUGACGGUAUCUUACCAGAAAGGGACGGCUAACUACGUG
rnacentral:rRNA from 1 species